rnacentral:rRNA from 1 species
GACGAACGCUGGCGGCGUGCUUAACACAUGCAAGUCGAACGAUGAAGCACCAGCUUGCUGGUGUGGAUUAGUGGCGAACGGGUGAGUAACACGUGAGUAACCUGCCCCUCACUCUGGGAUAAGCCUGGGAAACUGGGUCUAAUACUGGAUACGACCGAUCUCCGCAUGGAGUGUUGGUGGAAAGAUUUUGUGGUGGGGGAUGGACUCGCGGCCUAUCAGCUUGUUGGUGGGGUAAUGGCCUACCAAGGCGACGACGGGUAGCCGGCCUGAGAGGGCGACCGGCCACACUGGGACUGAGACACGGCCCAGACUCCUACGGGAGGCAGCAGUGGGGAAUAUUGCACAAUGGGCGAAAGCCUGAUGCAGCGACGCCGCGUGAGGGAUGACGGCCUUCGGGUUGUAAACCUCUUUCACCAGGGACGAAGCUAACGUGACGGUACCUGGAGAAGAAGCACCGGCUAACUACGUG